AGUUCGUCUCUGUCAGCCGCGGAUCGCUCGGGGGCCCGCGGGCAGGCUCAGGCCGUGUGGCCGCAGGGAGAGAAACGGAGCCGGUCCCCGCGCGCGGUGCGCUUCCCUGAGCUGUGGAAAGUGCACCCGGGACUCGGCUCCUACAAGC
rnacentral:telomerase_RNA from 1 species